rnacentral:rRNA from 1 species
GUGCCUACGGGGGGCAGCAGUAGGGAAUUUUCGGCAAUGGGGGGAACCCUGACCGAGCAACGCCGCGUGAACGAAGAAGUUAUUCGUAAUGUAAAGUUCUUUUAUCAGGGAAGAAAGAGGAAUUUGACGGUACCUGAGUAAGAAGCCCCGGCUAACUACGUGCCAGCAGCCGCGGUAAUACGUAGGGGGCAAGCGUUAUCCGGAUUUACUGGGUGUAAAGGGAGCGUAGACGGCCAGACAAGUCUGAAGUGAAAAUCCAGCGCUUAACGUUGGAAGUGCU